CGACUCUUCAAUGCGUUGAAUGACUAUAUCUGUUUUCAGCCGUAUUGAUAAUGACCAUGUAAAAUAUAGGAAUUGAUCGAACCAUUGGAACUUAAAUAGGAGCAUUUGAUUAAAGGACAUAGAACUGAAAUAAUCGUAGACAUGUGCAUGAAAGUUACGUGUGAGAAAUGCAAGAAGCCCACUUGGAGAGGGUGUGGGGCCCACGUUGAACAGGUGAUGAAGGGCAUACCGGAAGACCAGCGAUGUAAGUGCCCGCGGAAGUAGCGCAUGCGUGCACUUAAUCGACGGAUUUCCGGACCUGAAGUUGGCUAUGGAUUUAUAUCGUUCUACAGCAAAUUCCUAUUAAGUUGCUCACUCCUCCUCUGUGCCAGUUUCACUUUUGUUUUGUAUUUAUAUUUUAUUUUAAUAAUAUUAAUAAAUGAAUGUUCUGAA